UACGUAGGUGGCAAGCGUUGUCCGGAAUUAUUGGGCGUAAAGCGCUCGCAGGCGGUCUUUUAAGUCUGAUGUGAAAGCCCACGGCUUAACCGUGGAGGGUCAUUGGAAACUGGAGGACUUGAGUGCAGAAGAGGAGAGUGGAAUUCCACGUGUAGCGGUGAAAUGCGUAGAGAUGUGGAGGAACACCAGUGGCGAAGGCGACUCUCUGGUCUGUAACUGACGCUGAGGCGCGAAAGCGUGGGUAGCGAACAGA
rnacentral:rRNA from 1 species